UUUCAAAAAUUUAGAACUGAAUGGAUUCAAGAUGGUGACAGGAAUACAAUGUAUUAUCAUUUAAAAACCAUUAAAAGCAGAUGGAGGAAUAAGUCGAAAAUGUUGAA